rnacentral:rRNA from 1 species
GAUAUUAGUCAUGGCUCGCAAGAGUGAACCAGCUAACUGAAAUAAUAGAUAUAUACCUGUAUGAACUAAUAAUUUAUUAUUAGUAAGACUUUCUGUGGUGGUCAGUCCUAUUAUAAGGUAAGGGAGAAUAAUGAUGUAACCUUACUAUUAGUGUUGUCCAAAACUAGUGCCAGAAGACUCGGUAAGGCCAGGUACGCAAACGUUAAUCAUCAUAAUCAGGCGUAAAGGGUGUGUAGGCGGCUUCUUUUAGAUUAAUAAAUAAUUAAAUAUUUAUUAGGCUCGUGGAAGCUAGAAUCUUAUAGAGGAUAAACCAAAUAAUGCUUAGUCUAGGGAUGAUAUCUUAAUAAACUGAGUGGAAUACUAAAAGGUGAAAGCUUUUUAUCUAUUAAAGAUUGACGCUGAGAAACGAAGGUGGGAAUAGAAACCAGGAUUAGAUACCCAAUUAUCUCCCACUGUCAACGAUGAGUGGUGGUUAGUUAGUUCUUCAUAAUGGAACUGACAGCGAUGCUAACGCGAUAACCACUCCGCCUUGUGAGUACGGUUGCAAAACUGAAAUCGAAAAAAUUAGUCGGUCUCGAAGCA